GAAAAACUGGUUUUAAACUGAGCUGCAGUGCCCUUGCUUACCUAAUGUGUUAUUUGGAGCAACACCUCUGCAGUCUUUAGACCCAAGCUAUUCAUCAGUGGUCAAAGAUGCUAGAAACGGAGCAGUGGUACACCCCAGGGAGUUAUCAAUGUAAGCGUAGGUGUUGGUGUGCCUGGGAUCUGGAAAUGAGUCAGCGGCUGUGAGAGUUUCUUUGGCAGGUAAUUUUAUUUUCCCUGUGGCUAAGGAUAAUUACUGUGCUAAAGUUCCACGCAAAUAUGACAUUAUAAGGCUUUGAAAUUCAGGUUAAGUAUUCAUUCACUCUUUCAUUCUAAAGAAAAGCCAGGAAUGGGGAGGAGAGUGGUAUGGUUACUUAAAAAAAAUUUUUUUAAAACGUAUUACUGUAGAUUAACUCAAUUUCCAUUGAAUGAAACUGAACAUUACUUUGCUUUUUUUAUAACAGUCUGUUGUGCAAGGAACACGCCUGCCUUUUUAGCUAAAAGACUGCACCAGGCUUUGAAGGGCGCUGGGACUGAUGAGUUUACUCUGAACCGAAUAAUGGUUUCCAGAUCAGAAAUUGACCUUUUGGACAUUCGAGCAGAGUUUAAGAAGCAGUAUGGCUAUUCCCUACAUUCAGCAAUUGAAUCAGAUACUUCUGGAGACUAUGCAGUCACACUCGUAAAGAUCUGUGGAGGAGAUGACUGAGUCAAGAAUGUCAUUUCUAAAGGCUGCCUGCUCCCAUGACGGACUUUUCCCACAGCUCUAAUUACUUCUUUCUCGCAGUAUUUACAAGUACAAGCAAGUGUCAAGAGCAACCUGUUUUCCUAAUAGAGAUUUUCAUUGUUCCAUAAUAAUAACAACAACAAAGUGAUUAUUAUCAUAGAACAUCUCAUCAUAAUGUAGCCGUUUAUAAAUGAAAUUUUUAAAUGACAUUAAGGAUCAGCUAAUACUAUCCAAAUUAUAUUUCUGCUUUGGAAGUGAGACUCUUUGUUCAGUUCUAAAACAUAAAAUGCAAAACAGUGUAACACAAGUUCUUGCCUCCUCUGUAAAAUGUAAUCUGUUGUUAUCAUCAACCAGCAUUGUUUGGUACCUGGCACUGACAACUAAUGAUAUUUUAAAACAUGUUUUGGUUAUAAAGCUGUUGCUGCUUCCAUUUGUCUACCGUCUUAUUAAUCACAUUCAUCCUUAAGAAAGGAAUAAAAACGAAGAUGUAUGUA